rnacentral:lncRNA from 1 species
CAGAAGAAUCCCAGACUUCUUAGAGAACCCAGUAACUUUUUGCACCUUAAAUCUGUGAAAUCCUCAUGUUUUCUUCUGCCGUAUCCAUAGUUCAAACAAAGAUGAGGCAAAGCUAGAUGCAUUCCUGAAGGAACCCAAGAAAUUCCUCUCUUUCUCUCUCUGGAAUGAAAUGAAUUCUCCAGACCACCAGUUCUAACCUUCAAAAACCAAACCUGUUUGUGAGAUCUCCUUCAAAUACUACUGUAGACCCCAAUGUUUAUUCAUUAAAUUUUUUAAAUAUU